UCAGGUGUUGGAAGUUUCAGUGAAUGCUCAUCAGGUGUUGGAAAUGUAGAUUUAAGCUUCUUAGUCUCGGCACUACUGACAAACACAGAAGGAGGAAGGAGUGUGGCUGUCAUGGUCUCCUCAGUGAGACACUCCAAACGUUUCGCUGUGCUUCCUUAGGUGUGAGAAUGAAGAGGUAGGGUGCAGUAGUCAAUGUUGACUUCCUGACUCCUGGAUGGAAGCUAAGGCUGUGAAUUUGCAGAGCUAGUAGCUCCUGGAGGCCCCAGGGAUUUGCCUACCUGCUGUCAACAUCAACUCUUCCAUCUGUAUUAUAUUCCACUGGGGCUCUGGAAGAAUGUGCCAGUCCCUAAUUUCUCCCUUUGCUGCUGUUUUUGAAACAUCCACACAGUUCCUUCUGGGUUUCUUAAAUUUCUUUGUUUUCUCUGUGUGGUUUUGUUACUGAUAGUAAUUAAAUUAAAGCACAUAGCGAUGAACCAUUAAUAAACCCUAUCACCUACUGACAGUAAUGAUAAUUGUUAAACUCUAGAUGCUAGGCUUUGUGAUAAUACCCUUGUAUUUUAAAUCCAAUUUAAUCCUAACAACGAUUUUAUGGGAUUGUCUUAUCUAUGAAGUAUUUGUGAUGUUUCAGACUACAGAGGAGGAACCCAAGUCAUUGGGUGGUGGAAAGUGUAAAAUAAAAGUUUUGGAAGAAUA